GUGGGGCUGCCCGGUGCGUCAGGCAACAUCACCCCCGGGCCGAUAAUUACUUCCUAGGGAACUGGCUCUGUCGUGAUCCUGGUCAUGUUACCCGGUGCCCACCUGUCUUAGCAGGUCUUGGAAGGGUCGAUAGAGGACCAACGGCUGUGGUGGCUCCACA
rnacentral:other from 3 species